rnacentral:rRNA from 1 species
UACGGAGGGGGCUAGCGUUGUUCGGAAUUACUGGGCGUAAAGCGCGCGUAGGCGGACCUGCAAGUCGGGGGUGAAAGCCCGAGGCUCAACCUCGGAACUGCCUUCGAUACUGCAGGGCUAGAGUCCGGAAGAGGCGAGUGGAAUUCCUGGUGUAGCGGUGAAAUGCGCAGAUAUCAGGAGGAACACCGAUGGCGAAGGCAGCUCGCUGGGACGGUACUGACGCUGAGGCGCGAAAGCUAGGGGAGCAAACGGG